GUCAUUAUAACAUCAUUUUGAGAACGGAAUGUGCUUACUUUGUGGAUAAUACUGUGAAGUCCCGCGGUGAAUCCAGCGUCCAAACAAGCAAGGCAGUCUUUUUUAGCUAUGUCUCCCGUCCUGUAAUUACUCUGAUUAGUGUUAGUUAUCUUACUUAUCCACGUGUUUUCAUACUGUGUAGGUUUCCCAAAGAUAAAGGGCUGUGAAAGCAAUGGGAAACAGCUCUCAGAAGGGAAAGGUUUUCUGCUACAGUAGCUCGUGAACUGUGCUCUGCAGUGAGCAUUUCAGACAGGAGGACUUCGACAGGACAGGUCAGACAGUUAGGAUCAGAAAUGGAGUUAUUCCUUCUGUCUUCUGUUUCCCAGCUCAUCUCCAAAAGGACCAUUCUUAUGCAAUGCUUUCAUCACCCAGUGAAAUCAUGGACAGACUCAGUGAAGCUUUAGCUAGGGUGAAAAAAGAGAAGAGGAAUGCUCAGGACAGAGAAAGGAGGGCAAAGAAAACUUUCUGUGGUCUUCUGGAGGAUCUGAGGGGGAAAAAAAAUUAUAAAUGAAGAAUUGAAAGAGCGUCUUGAGUCAUACUCAGAUCUUCCACUACACCUGCUGUCAAAACAGAGCCAUGAGUACACCAAAGACCAGAGGGAGUUUGCUGCCACUCUCCACUUACAUGGUCCCAAAGCGUAUAAAUAUCUGAGUCUCUCCAGAUUAAUA